GGGCAAUGAGGGUUAAUUGACUUGCCCAGGGUCACACUGCUAGCUAUAGGAUCCUUGAGGACAAGAAUUAUAUAACUUUCAGCUUAUUUGUCCUUCUCUGUUAAUAGGAUCUCUGUAUUUUUCAGAUAGUUAAGUUGGAUCACUUUUCCAGACCUGUGAGAGCCCUCUUCAGGGAUGAUCAGAGAACCUCAGG